UUGGAGCAAGUAAUCAGUAACAUCUGCAGCCAAGUCGCCAACAAAUAUUGUGUAAUCUGGAGAAUCAUCGUGGCGUCUUUCACCAGCACUAAAACUUGCCCAAUUCAACCUGAAACUCUGCCCCCCAUUUGGCAUAAUAGCUCCAUUAUAUGUUUGGAGAAUUCUCUCUGCCGCAGCACGACUAUUAAAUUCAAUAAACCCAUAACCUUCUGAUUGACUAGUUUGCUUAUUACGAAUCACUUUGACAGAUGUAACCUACAAUCCAAUAAAAUGAGAAUUUUAUAUCACAACAAAACAGUCCUCCAUAUAAAAUACAAAAUUCAAACAAAAGGUAACCUUAAAAUAUGACCGAAAAAAAAAUCAAACUACGCUAAAAACAAAUAUCACAAAUAAAUCCGAAUUUGAACCUGCAGUGCCACAGAACUCAUACUACUAUCUAUUACUCCGCGUAUUAAUAAAUACAAUAUUCACUCAAAACAAACGUCUACUAAAAAAACUAUAUUCACGAAAACCCAAUUCAGUUACUUCAGAAAAUAACACAAAUCAACAAAAUCUUUGACCUAAAAUGCCACAAAAUCAACAAUACUGCGCGUAAAUCAUUAAAAAUGAAACUAAAAGGCAAGGACCUUUUAAAAAUCAAAAAGUGAUCGUGAUUAACGUUGAGAAAGAUAAACCCUAAUAAAUUGUGUGAAAAAACAUGCACAAGCAACAAAAAUCACCAUCAAACCAAGAAAACAAGAAGGGCUGUUAUACCUCGCCGGUAGAUGCAAAGCAGGUGUAGAGAUAGUUUUCAUCCAUCCAGUACUGCAAAUCGCCGAUCCAUAGGGUCCGGACCUCGUCAACGCUGGUGGGCUGCUGCUGCGACGAAGGCUGGGUGGAAGGAGCCCACAUGGGCGGAGGCGCCUGGGGCUGCGGCGGCAUCAUGACGUAGGGUUGCUGCUGCGGCGGCGGCUGCUGAUACUGUUGCGGUGGCUGCUGCCCCAUGGUGGGAGGAGCCA
rnacentral:lncRNA from 1 species